AGUGCCCCCCCCGCCAAAACCCAAUCUACGACAUAAUCAGUUCACUCGAUUUGUCAAUUUAAUCACUUUGUCAACUGACUCAUUUACUCAUUUUACCAAUUUUACUCAUUUUAAGAGCUUGAACAGUAAUGUUUUAAUAAUUAAAAUGUUGGCUACACAGAAAUACUAGAAAUUAACAUUUUUUCCACAUGAAACACUAAUACUUUUCCAGGCAAAAUGCCAACUUUUAACUAUAUGGUAGGAUUAUUUUGGCUACUUCUGGUUUCUUUAUGUGCUUUUGAAUAUAAGUGUAUAUUUCCAAACUUAAAACAUUUAAAUAUUUUUUCAUCAGCUUCUCAAAAUGGAUAUAAGCCUUAACUUCUUAGAGGAAAUACAGGGAAAUGGCUACAUAGGAAGGUCUGAACCCAGAGCCAGCCACCCCAGAAUGUCAGCCCAGCUCUGCCACUUUCUUAGGGUCAUCUCACUGGUACAUGUGUGAUGUGAUCUCAGCCAUGUUAUGUAUAGACACUAUGGGGAAAAAAAAACACAUCACGAUAAUAACAGGGUUAUUUCUGAGUGGUAGGAUCAUGAGUAACUUUACUUGCUUUCCUUAUAAAUUUGUCAAGGAAAAAAAUCAAUCGAUCGUCAAAGAAAGAAACAGAACGUUUUAUUUGAGCCAGCCUGAGGACUAUAGCCCAGGAGACAGCGGAUACUCUGGGGAACUGCUCUGAAGAGAUUGCUUACGAAGAUCUUAGCAGGUGCUCACAGUCCCUAAUGGAGGGUGUAGGCCAUGACUAAGCAGGUCAGAGCCAAGUCAUUUUCCUGGAAGCAGGAAUUAGCAGAGACCAGAAAGGAGAGUGUCAAAGAGGAUGACCUUGGACUUAAUUCCGCCAGUGGAAGGCAUGUCGGUGUGCCAAUUUCAAGCCUAGACCUCGAGAGGUCUUGAAUGCUUCUGCUUUCUAUCUCUUGGAGCUUUGUCCAAGCACCAGGUGAAUGCACAAACCCAGACCAGCCUGUUGGUGAAAGAGAGACCAAACAGAACAGAGUUGAGCUGUGUCAUCCUAGAGCAUCCUACACCAGCCAACCCCAAGCUAUCUCAGCACCGGACUGAGCCAGAGGAAAUCAGAACCUGCCUAGCUGAGUCCAUCCCACGUUGCCAAC